UACGUAGGGCGCAAGCGUUGUCCGGAAUUAUUGGGCGUAAAGAGCUCGUAGGCGGCUUGUCACGUCGGGUGUGAAAGCCCCGGGGCUUAACCCCGGGUCUGCAUUCGAUACGGGCAGGCUAGAGUGUGGUAGGGGAGAUCGGAAUUCCUGGUGUAGCGGUGAAAAUGCGUAGAGAUCGGGAAGAACAUCGGUGGCGAAAAGCGCUCUACUGGGCCAUAACUGACACUCAGGGGACGAAAGCUAGGGGAGCGAAUGGG
rnacentral:rRNA from 1 species